rnacentral:rRNA from 1 species
GUUUGAUCCUGGCUCAGGAUGAACGCUGGCGGCAUGCCUAAUACAUGCAAGUCGAACGGAGUGAAGCCUUCGGGUUUCAUUCAGUGGCGAACGGGUGAGUAAUACGCAGGGAACCUGGCCAUGGCAGGGGGAUACACUCUGGAAACGGAGCAUAAGACCCCAUAGGCAGUAAGGCGGCAUCGCCUUACUGUUAAAGAAAGCUGAAAGGCUUUGGCGAUGGAUGGACCUGCGGUGCAUUAGCUUGUUGGUGAGGCAACGGCUUACCAAGGCGAUGAUGCAUAGCCGGCCUGAGAGGGCGGACGGCCACACUGGGACUGAGACACGGCCCAGACUCCUGCGGGAGGCAGCAGUAGGGAAUUUUCGUCAAUGGGCGCAAGCCUGAACGAGCAAUGCCGCGUGAGUGAGGAAGGUCUUCGGACUGUAAAGCUCUGUUGCCGGGGAAAAAGGGGAAAUGCAGGAAAUGGCAUUUCAUGGAUGGUACCCGGCCAGAAAGCCACGGCUAACUACGUGCCAGCAGCCGCGGUAAUACGUAGGUGGCGAGCGUUAUCCGGAAUGAUUGGGCGUAAAGGGUGCGCAGGCGGUCUGUUAAGUCUGAAGGCAAAGGGAAGAGCUCAACUCUUCUUUGAUUCAGAAACUGGCAGACUUGAGGACAGGAGAGGGCGGUGGAACUCCAUGUGUAGCGGUAAAAUGCGCAGAGAUAUGGAAGAACACCAGUGGCGAAGGCGGCCGCCUGGCCUGUGACUGACGCUGAGGCACGAAAGCGUGGGGAGCAAAUAGGAUUAGAUACCCUAGUAGUCCACGCCGUAAACGAUGAGGAGCAGGUGUUGGGAGUGAAAUCUCAGUGCCGAAGCCAACGCAGUGACUCCUCCGCCUGGGGAGUAUGCACGCAAGUGUGAAACUCAAAGGAAUUGACGGGGGCCCGCACAAGCGGUGGAGUAUGUGGUUUAAUUCGAAGCAACGCGAAGAACCUUACCAGGUUUUGACAUCGGAUGCGAAGGCGCAGAGAUGCGCUGGAGGCUAUCAUCCAGACAGGUGGUGCAUGGUUGUCGUCAGCUCGUGUCGUGAGAUGUUCAGUUAAGUCUGGCAACGAGCGCAACCCCCGUGGUAUGUUACUAACGCAUUUGGGCGAGGACUCAUAUCAGACUGCCGGUGACAAACCGGAGGAAGGCGGGGAUGACGUCAAAUCAUCAUGCCCCUUAUGACCUGGGCUACACACGUACUACAAUGGCGUCUACAGAGGGAAGCGACCCUGAGAAGGGAAGCGAAACCGGAAAAGGGCGUCCCAGUUCGGAUUGAAGUCUGCAACCCGACUUCAUGAAGAUGGAAUCGCUAGUAAUCGCGGAUCAGCAUGCCGCGGUGAAUACGUUCCCGGGCCUUGUACACACCGCCCGUCAAACCAUGGAAGCCGGCAACGCCCGAAGCCGGUGGCAUAACCUUUUAGGAGUGAGCCGUCGAAGGCGGGGCCGAUGACUGGGGUUAAGUCGUAACAAGGUACCC